rnacentral:rRNA from 1 species
CCUACGGGGGGCAGCAGUGGGGAAUUUUGGACAAUGGGCGCAAGCCUGAUCCAGCCAUGCCGCGUGAGUGAAGAAGGCCUUCGGGUUGUAAAGCUCUUUCGGCCGGGAAGAAAUCGCACAGGUUAAUACCCUGUGUGGAUGACGGUACCGGAAUAAGAAGCACCGGCUAACUACGUGCCAGCAGCCGCGGUAAUACGUAGGGUGCGAGCGUUAAUCGGAAUUACUGGGCGUAAAGCGUGCGCAGGCGGUUUGUUAAGAUAGGCGUGAAAUCCCCGGGCUCAACCUGGGAACUGCGCUUAUGACUGGCAAGCUAGAGUACGGCAGAGGGGGGUGGAAUUCCACGUGUAGCAGUGAAAUGCGUAGAGAUGUGGAGGAACACCAAUGGCGAAGGCAGCCCCCUGGGUCGAUACUGACGCUCAUGCACGAAAGCGUGGGUAGCA